rnacentral:lncRNA from 1 species
GGUCAGAGUUUGUCAACUACCCUUCUCCAGCCAGCAACACACAGGACCUGGAGGGGAGGUCGCGGUUACCAGGCUCCACUCUCAGGAGAAAACUGCUCAGCUACUGACACUACCAACUCCGUGACACCGCCGAACACCCCAGCCUGUGACGUCGCCCCAAGGCCCAUCCUUGUGACGUCACCGAAGGCGCGCGCUUGUGACGUAUAACCGGCAGCUGAGCUGGCAUUUUUGUGUCUGCAAGCUUCGGCCCGGCUGCCGCCGCCCAUAAGCUACCGGGAGGAGCUUUACGACUUCCCCGCCUGCAGGGCCGGGCGUAGCAAAGACCAGACGCGUCACGAGCAGGCGCUGCGCCCCAACCGGCCGGCUCCUGGCGGGCCCGUUGCGGAGAAGCUCCUCAAUGGCCAGCGGCAGCUGCAGCCUCCGCCGUGCACUCGUCUUACCUGAUCCCGGGAUGGUGAUUGCUCACGCCAAAGCCCUUGGACCCCUCCCGGCCUGUGACCUUUGUGACCAACUCCAACUAUGCAGCGGACAAAGGGGCUCCGUAUGUGGAUGUGAUCUGUGUGAACAGCUGCUACUCUUGAUAUCAUGACUACAGGCACCUGGAAUUGAUUCAGCUGCAGCUGGCCACCCAGUUUGAGAAGUGGUGAAGAUGUUUCAGAAACCCAUUAUUCAGAGCAAGUACAGAGCGGAAAUGAUUGCAGGGUUUCAUUAGGUAAGUGCUAUUGAACUUUCUGCUUAUGUGUUAUCUCGGGACAGAGAUGUCACUCGCCUCCCCCGGCCUGCCCUGCGCCCACUGCACUGUUCCCCUCUCUUCAGCUUUGGGCUCACCUCCCUCUGUCCCGUCCAUAUUCCCUUCCUGCCAGCAGCCAGGCCUCUGCCCACU